rnacentral:rRNA from 1 species
AUUGAACGCUGGCGGCAUGCCUUACACAUGCAAGUCGAACGGCAGCAUGAUCUAGCUUGCUAGAUUGAUGGCGAGUGGCGAACGGGUGAGUAAUACAUCGGAACGUGCCCUGUAGUGGGGGAUAACUAGUCGAAAGAUUAGCUAAUACCGCAUACGACCUGAGGGUGAAAGUGGGGACCCCCAGGGCUCCCUCCCUAGGGGCCGGCCAAUGUCUGGUUAGCUGGUUGUUGAGGUAAAGCCCCACCAGGGCGCCGACCAGUAGCUGGUCUGAGAGGACGACCAGCCACACUGGGACUGAGACACGGCCCAGACUCCUACGGGAGGCAGCAGUGGGGAAUUUUGGAAAAUGGGCGAAAGCCUGACCCAGCAAUGCCGCGUGUGUGAAGAAGGCCUUCGGGUUGUAAAGCACUUUUGUCCGGAAAGAAAUGGCUCUGGUUAAUACCUGGGGUCGAUGCCGGUACCGGAAGAAUAAGGACCGGCUACCUACGUG